rnacentral:rRNA from 1 species
GGACCCGCACAAGUAGUGGAGCAUGUGGUUUAAUUCGAUGAUACGCGAGGAACCUUACCAGGGCUUAAAUGUAAGUUGCAUAAGUUAGAGAUAGCUUUUUCUUCGGACUACUUACAAGGUGCUGCAUGGUUGUCGUCAGCUCGUGCCGUGAGGUGUCAGGUUAAGUCCUAUAACGAGCGCAACCCCUGUUGUUAGUUGCCAUCGAGUAAUGUCGGGAACUCUAACAAGACUGCCGGUGCAAACCGUGAGGAAGGUGGGGAUGACGUCAAAUCAUCACGGCCCUUACGGUCCUGGCUACACACGUGCUACAAUGGCCGGUACAGAGAGCAGCCACUACGCGAGUAGGAGCGAA